AGCAGGCUGAAGUUGCACUACUGCAAGCCUGGAGCUGCAGCACCAAGGUGAAGCUCAAACAUGCACAACUACACAAGCUCUCGUGGGAAUGUGGUGACUCAAGGGAUGAAGUGGCAAAGGACUGCAUCUUCUGCCAGGUUUCAUCACCUUUAAAAUAAAUUUAUAGUUCCAACAUCUGCAAUGUGAAAUGAAGACUCCCAUUUUGGCCAACAAAUUCUCUGAGUAAUCAUAAACAAUUAAAAAUCCUCAAUACCUGGAAACGAAAUGGGUAUCAUCAGGACAAAAUGCUACAUUUAAAACCCAGGAUCCAUGACCACUUAAUGUGCCAGCCAAAUUUGCAUGUUGCCUGUGGAAAGA